CUUUGAGGGCUGCCCCUUAUCACAUGCUUUUUAAAUCUCUUUUCAACACAAAGACACGUGGGCCAUAUAGAUAACACUGUGUUCAGGCACAGGGGGUUAUUUAAGAUCUAGCACAAUACAAUGCUAAAUUUAAGACAAUAGAUAGUAAACAGUCAGUCAUGUGAUCAGGGGGCUGGAAGAAGGUUCCUAGAUACAAGGUAAUCACAAAGGUAAAAAGUAUAUUAAUAUAACUUAGUUAUGCAAAACUGGGGAAUGAGUAACAAAGGGAUUAUCUAUCUUUUAAAACAAUAACAAUUCUAUGGUUGACUGUCCCUUUAAUGGUUAUGAAAGUGCAGUAUCUAAAUAGUCUUAAAGGGACACUAACCCCAAUUUUUUUUCUUUCAUGAUUCAGAUGGUGCAUGCAACUUUCUAAUUUACUUCUAUCAAUUUUCUUUGUUCUCUUGCUAUCUUUAUUUAAAAAGCAGGAGUGUGAUGCAUAGGAGCCAGCCCAUUUUUAUAUUUUUGAGAACCUGGGUUAUGCUUGCCUCCAAUAAGCAAGCGCUAUCCAUGGUGUCCCUUUAAGUUGAAGAGGAUUUCUUUUAGUAUGGCCCGUCAUGUUAGUGAAUGCCAACAGGUGGCGCUCUAGAAUUUUGAGUAUGUUCUAUCCUUACCAGACUUUCAGUUCACCCAUGUAAUGAGUUGUACUGCUAAGAUGUAUGUUUUACUCUUAUGGGCCUCCUUAGUGUAUGUAGCUAUAUCUCAUCAGUUGAGUGCUUAUAAUUCCUUGUCUUGUAAAAUGUAACUUCCUAACUAUUAAUAGUAGGUAAUAAAUAAUCCAUAAUGCUAGGCACCAGCAAUAAAAUUCUAUCUAAUGGUCUCUGGGAUUUUAAGUCUAGCUUUAAACAUUGCUCAUGGGGCACUUUAAUUCAUUAAACUUUAGAAAAGAUGCUUCAUUUUUAAAAUAUUUACCACUGAGUUAUGGUAACCGUACCUUCGCCCUCAUCUCCUACUUUUUAGCAGAUCAAUGACUAAUCCACCUUCCUCCAAUCAUUGUGUGUCAUCACUUAAAGGACCAGUCAACACUGUACAUUUGCAUGAUAAGAAGACAAUGCAAUAGCACUUAGUCUGGACUUCAAAUGAGUAGUAGAUUUUUUUAAAAUAAAUUGCAAAGUUUUGUCUAUUUCCACUCCCCCUGUAUCAUGUGACAGUCAUCAGCCAAUCACAAAUGCAUAUACGUAUAUGCUUUAAAUUCUUGCACAUGCUCAGUAAGAGUUGGUGACUCAAAGUAUAAAUAUAAAGACUGUGCACAUUUUGUUAAUGGAAGUUAAUUGGAAAGUUGUUUAAAAUUGCAUGCUGUAUCUGAAUCAUGGAGUUUAAUUUUGACUUGAGUGUCCCUUUAAAGGGACAGUAUACACUCAUUUUCAUUUAACUGCAUGUAAUAGACACUACUAUAAAGAAUAAGAUGCACAGAUACUGAUAUAAAAAUCCAGUAUAAAACUGUUUAAAAACUUACUUAGAAGCUGUCAGUUUAGCUCUGUUGAAAAGGUAGCUGGAAAGCCCACUGCAAGUGACAAAUAAGACACUCCCCCCUCCCCCUUCUUUUGCAUAUGAAAAGACCCUUUACACAAACAGGAGCAAGCUGGAGAAGGUAACUGACGGUAUUCACAUAAAACUUUGGGGCUUGGUUAGGAGUCUGAAAAUCAGAUCAAUGUUAUUUAAAAAUAAGCAAAACUAUACAUUUAUUUAAAAAAAAAAAACUUUAUGGGCUACAUAAAUAGAUCAUCUACAAAACAUUUAUGCAAAGAAAAAAUGAGUGUAUAAUGUCCCUUUUUAAAAGGCACAUUUCUGUUAUGUGCAAUGAAACAACUUUGCAAUAUGUUCACCCCCCAUUGUCUUGUAAUCUUACCUCUGAACAUUAAGCAAUUUCAUAUUCACAGGACAUGAAAUGCACCAUGCUGACUUCUGAAGGCAAUAUGUCCAUAAUUGGCUUUAAAGGGACAGUAUAAACAAAAAAAAUAUGGGCUAAUUUUAAUAAAACGUGAUGUAUACAAAGCUUACAAUUGACGUGCAUUAGUUCUUUUGCUUCAAAAAAUGAGGAAAAAACUUGCAGUGGUUUCACUGCAUAUGGAGACAAUCGUCCUACAAACUAGUUUCUACCUCACUCCCUAACUAGUGUUUACUGACGGCGCUCUUGCUGGAGCUAUCUGUGUAAUGUAGUUUGCACAUAGCAUAAAAACAGCGCAGGAAGAUUAUAUUUUUUUACUAAACACAAAUAAAUCUGAAAAAAUACUUUGUCCCUUUUAACUCAUAAAACUAGUUUAAUGCACCGCUAAUAAUGUGGGUUACUAGUAAAUAUCUAAAGCAGCUAAAGGGACAGUCUACCAUUGAAUUGUUAUUGUUUUAAAAGAUAGAUAAUCCCUUUAUUACCCAUUCCCCAGGUUUGCAUAACCAGCACUGUUUUAUUAAUAUAAUUUUACCUCUGAUUACCUUGUAUCUAGGAACCUUCUUCCAGCCCCCUGAUUACAUGACUGACUGUUUUUAUUAUCUAUUGUCUUGCAGUUAGCAUUGUGUUGGGCUAAAUCAUAAACAACUUUCUGUGUCUGAACAGUGUUAUCUAUAUGGCCCACGUGUACUUUCUGUCUUGUGUUGAAAAGAGAUUUAAAAGGCAUGUGAUAAGGGGCAGCCCUCAAAGGCUUAGAAAUUAGCAUGUGAGCCUACCUAGGUUUAGUUUAAACUAAGAAUACCAAGAGAAAAAAGCAAAUUUGAUGAUAAAAGUAAAUUGGAAAGUUGAUUAAAAUUAAGACAUGUCCUAGCUGGAUAAUGAAAGUUUAACUUUGACUACUGUCCCUUUUAAUAUGUUCUAAACACUAAUAGUCUAGGAGGUUGCUCUAUACAAACAUCAGAUGCAGAGAUAAAUAAAGUGUUUAAACUCACAGCUAAUUUUGCUCUCUGCAGGUAUUCCACUACCCCAGGAGGGGGGAAGGGGAGUGGAAUUCCUGCAGAGAUACAACUACCAGGCUACUCUAAAUAUGGUACUACACGUUGCAGUACUUAAAAGGACAUUUAGCUGUUGGGUACAAUUACAAUACCAUGGUUAGUUAUCAAUGCUAUGUUUCCUCCUGUGCAUGUAGCGGUCUUGAAAUCAGUUCUCCUGUUUUAGCAAUUUAUAGUUAAUUGCUUACUCUUCAUACUGGGGCCAUCUUGGAGCAUUUGUUCUUGUAACCAUGUAACAUGCAGCACUGCACUUUUAACAGAGCAGUUAGGUUUACAGCUCUCUUGACAGCUGUGACAGGCAGGUACAGUGAUCUCAUAUCAGAAAUGACAAACCAUUAUUUGUAAAUAAAGGCUUGUUUUUUUUUGUUUUUUUUUUAACCCCUUCCCUUUUCUCACUGAGUAUUUAGGUCAAUCAGUUUUAAAUCUCCCCCCACCCCCUCAAACAAAAGGGUUAAACUAAAAUGUCAAAUAGCUCUGGGUAAAUACCAUGGGUGUCGACUUUCUCCAAAUAUACACUUUUUUGUGUAAUUUUGUCCAAGCAUGGCAAAUGUUACAAAUUUAAACAGUAAUUCCGUCCCUAUCAUAUGUUUGCUAUGAAUUACUUUGAAACCUAGACUUGGUGUUCCUAAAGCCUAACAUAAUGAAUAGAUUUUGAGGUAUUCUUUCUAUACUAGAUUUGUAGAAAUGGUUUUAAAGGAAAGUGUAGUGGGGGGUAGCUCCCACAUUCAGUAUUUUAUAUAGAUAUCUGGUACUAAAGAAAUCCCUGUCAAAACAAACUGUAUGGUUGCACUUAAUAAGAUAACGGGAUAAUUAUUGUGAAAUCAAUAGAGCAUAAAUUAGCUGUCAUUUUAAGCACAUAAUCUGGGGGAAAACACUUAAAGGGAUGUUGAACCCAAAAAAAUUAUAUUUUGUGAUUCAGAUAGCGCAUGCAACUUUCUAAUUUACUCCUAUUUUAUUUUUUCUCCGUUCUCUUGGUGUCCUUUUUAUUUGAAAAAGCAGGAACAUAAGCUUAGCGCUUACAUUUUAGCUACCCAGGUGUUGAACCAAAGAUGGGCUGACUCCUAAGCUUUAAAUUCCUUUUUCGAAUGAAGAUUAUUGAUAAUAGGAGUAAAUUAGAAAGUUGCUUAAAAUCAGAAUCCUGAGAGGAGAAAAAAUGGCUUCAGUAUCCCUUUAAGGGGUUAAAAAUUGUAGGCUGGUUUUGAAGAGAGCUGCAGCAAAGGAGGAAAAUAGCAUGUUGUCUAGUGACCAUGCUGUUAUAGUUGUGAUUAGCAGUUUAAUGUCUCUUUAAACAGAUCUAAAAUGUUACAAUUUGGAGCGGCAAUUCUCAAGAGGAGUAAGCGUCUGCAGGGCUUGCUUUGACUUGUGCAGUGGACCAAAAUAUAUUCUCCUAAUGGGCCUUGUUUCUUGGGAUAUGACUGGCUGUCCAACUAUUUAAUGUGUUUCAAACUGUUUUUAUGUGAAUUUAAGUUGUGGGGUUUUUAUUUUAAAUAAAAUGUAGUGUGCAACUAUUUUCAUAAUCUA